rnacentral:rRNA from 1 species
AACGAACGCUGGCGGCAGGCUUAACACAUGCAAGUCGAGCGCCCCGCAAGGGGAGCGGCAGCCGGGUGAGUAACGCGUGGGAACGUACCUUUUGGUUCGGAACAACUCCGGGAAACUGGAGCUAAUACCGGAUAAGCCCUAACGGGGAAAGAUUUAUCGCCGAAAGAUCGGCCCGCGUCUGAUUAGCUAGUUGGUGAGGUAACGGCUCACCAAGGCGACGAUCAGCAGCUGGUCUGAGAGGAUGAUCAGCCACACUGGGACUGAGACACGGCCCAGACUCCUACGGGAGGCAGCAGUGGGGAAUAUUGGACAAUGGGCGCAAGCCUGAUCCAGCCAUGCCGCGUGAGUGAUGAAGGCCUUAGGGUUGUAAAGCUCUUUUGUCCGGGAAGAUAAUGACUGUACCGGAAGAAUAAGCCCCGGCUAACUUCGUG